rnacentral:rRNA from 1 species
ACAUCCAGCGAACUUGGCAGAGAUGCCCUUGGUGGCCUUCGGGAACGCUGAGACAGGUGCUGCAUGGCUGUCGUCAGCUCGUGUUGUGAAAUGUUGGGUUAAGUCCCGCAACGAGCGCAACCCUUAUCCUUUGUUGCCAGCGAUUCGGUCGGGAACUCAAAGGAGACUGCCGGUGAUAAACCGGAGGAAGGUGGGGAUGACGUCAAGUCAUCAUGGCCCUUACGAGUAGGGCUACACACGUGCUACAAUGGCGCAUACAAAGAGAAGCGACCUCGCGAGAGCAAGCGGACCUCAUAAAGUGCGUCGUAGUCCGGAUCGGAGUCUGCAACUCGACUCCGUGAAGUCGGAAUCGCUAGUAAUCGUGGAUCAGAAUGCCACGGUGAAUACGUUCCCGGGCCUUGUACACACCGCCCGUCACACCAUGGGAGUGGGUUGCAAAAGAAGUAGGUAGCUUAACCUUCGGGAGGGCGCUUACCACUUUGUGAUUCAUGACUGGGGUGAAGUCGUAACAAGGUAGGCGUAGCGAG